UUACAGGUGAGGGACGCCAGCCAGCAAGGGAGGUGCUCGAGGUGGGGGCGGAGCCAGAUGUGUCUCACAUACCUGGCACCUGCAGAUUCCAGGACGGCCAGGAAGGGGUUUCAAAUCCCUUAUGUAAUUUAUGUGAUUACUCGGAGGGAAGCCUAGUGAUUGUGGUUUUCACAGUGUGGAUGUGGGAGCUGGGAGCAGAGAGGUAUUUGAUGGAGACAGCCCUUGCGGGGGGUGGGGGGGUGGCAGAGGCCUGGGGCACCAGCAUGUCCCCAGGGAGAGCAGGGCUAGAAGCCUUUCCGCCUGCCUGGCUCCUCUCCCCAUCCUGGGUGGGAUGUGGGGACCGUGGGGGAUGUCACUGUGCGGGGAAGGGGGGGAGGGGCCAUGGUGCCCCAGGCCGGAAGGACAGAGGAAGAGAGGCUGAACCACAGCUGAACCUUCAUCCUCCUGUCUGUCCUCCCAGAGGCCCCGCGGGCAGCCCUCUAAGUAGCACCCCCCACCUCCAUCCCCGCAGAGGAAGGGAGGCCCUCAGGGAAGAAAGAAACUCUCUGGAAACCUUGCCUGUGAAACUCAGCCUUUGUUGCAGAAACUCGACCCCAGCCUGGGCUAAAUGCGGCUACCCUGGGCUCUGGGUAAGCCGGACCCAGGCCCGAGUCUGUCCUUCACUGAGCACAGUGAGCUGAGCCCAGUCCCCGAGUAGGAGGACCCAAGAGAGCUGCGGGGACAUCCAGCUGGUCCAGCCACCUCCUUGCAUGUGGGCAGGUCACUGGAAGGUGUGGCUGAGACAGAGAGCCCUGCUCUGAGCUGAUGCCCGUCAUCCCAGGAGCCAUUAUGAGAAUCUCCGGGCCCCAGACUCCUGAGCAGCAGGGUCCUAAGAGUCACCGGCUUGACGCUGGCUCCUCGCAGGGAGGAAGGUGGUUUCCAGCGACGUCGUGUGCUCGCCCAGUGCCACACAGCACAUGAGGGCAGAGCUGUGUCCAACAUCCCCCGAUCUCUCCACCUCCUGCAAAGACCCUCGAAGCUUCUCAGGAGCUUGGGUGUGAGCGGCGAAUAGGAUCUCCAACUUCCAGGCAGGAAUCUAGGACUAAUCCUGAUGGAUUAGCAAAGUCAUCCUAUUGCAGAGACCCCCGAUGCCCCACCUAGUUCAGACCCUUGGACUCUAGGACACUGAAAUUCUCUCCAAAAUGUGAACAAUGAAGAUGUGCUUGGGAACCAGGAAAGGCUGAGCAGCUGAUGACCAUUUGGGUUUUGUGGCCUCCUUUUCAAAAGGAAAUAAAUACGGCAGAAAUGCUCUUCACAGAAGGGGCUUCAGGAUUUCAUAAAUAGACCAUAAAGAGGCAACAGAAGAACCAGCACAGCCCCAAAUCAACAUCUGUCCCCUGUCAUCUGGCUCUCCCUCCAUCAUCACCAUUCUCUCUCUCAAGAGCGAAACAAGCAUUCUUGUCUUUUGGAAAGAGAACCAUCUUCUCCCCGCCCAGACCUGCUUGGCAUCUUCCAAAGGUGGAGGAGCGUGCAUCCAAUAGGUGGGAUGGUGAGACCUGAUCUCCAUCAGUGGGCAGGGCUAAUAUUGCACAUGGUUCUAAAAGUCAGGAUGCUUUUGGCAGCGAGUAACAGAACUUCCAACUAAAGGCGUCUUACACCUUUGUGGCCCAAAGCGGGGUCCAUGGAUCCAUAGCAUGAGCAUCUGCAGCCUGCAGGAAUUUGGAAUCUUAGGUUCUACCUCGGACUUACUGAAUAAGAGUCUGCGCUUGCAGUAGAGCCCCAGGUGAUUCAUAUGCAUGUGAAAGUCUUCGAAGUACUAGUUUAAAUGAAAAAGGCUUUUUUUUGUGUGUGUGAACUUUAAAAGAAGCCCACAAAAAACAAUUCCAAUUUGGUUAACUCAUGAGUGCAAAGAUGUCAGGCCUCUAUCUCUGCAUCUUGGAGAUUUUUUUGGCUUCUGCCUCAGGGUUUCAAGAUGGCUGCUAUGGCUCCAACAUCAUCAAACCAAGUCCAAAACAAAUGAAAGGAAUAGGUGCUGGAGAAUUUUUCUUAUGUGUACCUUGGAAAAAGCUUUCCCAGAAAUCUCUAGUUCAUGUUCUUUGAGAUCCUAUUGGCUAGAAGUGGCUGGCAGGCCCACUCUUAAACCAGUCGCAAGUGAUGGGGAGUAGGUUUACUGGGAUCGGCCUUUGAACCACUGACCAAUCAAGUGUCUCCUCUUAGGGAUGGGAUAGGGCCACCUUCUUCCAUCACAUCAUCAUGUACCAGAGACUUGACAUGUGCUGUCUUACAACCAAUGAAUCAGAUAUGAGUGCCGGCUUAUCUGGGAUUAGGAAACUGAAAGCCAAAGGGUUUCUGUGUCCUGCACACAUUCAGAGCAAGCAGAAGCAGAGCCAGCUUUGUGCCAAGGGGCUUGAAUCCAGGGGCAGAGCUCAUCCCACGAUGCUCGCACCAGGACCACGGUCCCCUUGAGUGAACUUGCAGGAAACAAAGGCAUUUCCCGUGUUCACUUGUGUCCAACGCUGCCUUGACUACUUAGCACAAAACCUUUAUUAAGUUAGGGCUGCUUAGCGUAAUGCUCCUUUGCUCCGGCACCCCCGCAGUGAUCAG
rnacentral:lncRNA from 1 species